AACUGGAGGAGGGUGGGGAUGACGUCAAGUCAUCAUGGCCCUUACGACCAGGGCUACACACGUGCUACAAUGGCGCAUACAAAGAGAAGCGACCUCGCGAGAGCAAGCGGACCUCAUAAAGUGCGUCGUAGUCCGGAUUGGAGUCUGCAACUCGACUCCAUGAAGUCGGAAUCGCUAGUAAUCGUGGAUCAGAAUGCCACGGUGAAUACGUUCCCGGGCCUCGUACACACCGCCCGUCACACCAUGGGAGUAGCAUGCAAAAGAAGUAGGUAGCUUAACCUUCGGGAGGGCGCUUACCACUUUGUGAUUCAUGACUGGGGUGAAGUCGUA
rnacentral:rRNA from 1 species